rnacentral:lncRNA from 1 species
GUUUCUGAUUCUGUAAUUGAUAAUCAGGUAGUUAUUAUUGCAGCUGCCAAAUUAUUGAAUGCAAUUUCCUUUCUGUCCCUUCAACAGAGAAAACGAAAAAGAAAGAAAAGCUCUUAUUGCAUUAGAUAACGGGAUACAAUUUAAAUAGGCACUCAUCUUUAAAGAAAUGUAUAAAGUGGAGUUAUUAUCCCAUUUAACCAUUCUGACUAGUCACUUUUUUCCCCAUUCUGAUUAAUCACUUGAUCUCUUGAAGUUCCAUGCCAUGGCAAAGAGGAAGCUUAUAUUGAUUUGUCAGUCUGGUGGUGAGUUUAUGACCAAUGAUGACGGGACCUUAUCAUACAAAGGAGGAGAAGCAAAUGCUGUAAAUAUCAAUGACGAAACUCAGUUUGAUGAUCUGAAAUUGAAAUUGGCUGAAAUGUGUAAUUUGAAUUAUGGGACAAUCUCAAUCAAGUAUUUCCUCCCGGGAAACAGUAGAAAUCUCAUCACACUAAGAAAUGACAAGGAUCUACAAAGGAUGAUUGAUUUUCAUGGGAUUUCAGUGACUGCUGAUAUCUUUGUUAAUGGAAAAGAAGGAUUUGACCGAGAUGCUCUCAAAGUACAGGAAAGCAGGUAUAUGUUUGAGUUGCACCUUGUUAUAUUAACUGCUUCCUUAAAUGCGUUUCCUGUUUUCAAUAUGAAUUUUCUGCUGUAAUUCCAGCUUGUUGGCAAUCCAUAUGCACCACCUUUGAGCAGUGAUAAAUAAUGUUGACAAAUCACUAGAUUGCCAACACUUUUUGAGAAAGUGAGACUCAUCAGCUCUAUAGAUUCAUGAUGUGGUGAUUGGUUGCUGACACCUGGCUGGCUAUUAUAUUUAGCUCCUUUUUGGUCCCCAUAUUUUAGAAACCCCCCCCCCCCCCCCCUCAUUUUCAACCGGAUCCACUACUUUUAUCAACUUUUCAACCAAACAUUUAAUCUACUUUUAUCAAAAUCUAAAAUCUACUAAAAAACUGAUUUUUAGCAUAGCCAAACAGGGGCUUACUAACAUGCUCGUAUAAAUUCAUCAAUAAAACUUGGCAGGGGGAGCGACAUAAAACUGGCUGAGACUGUGAGCCCUGUUUCACCCUCAGCUAAUGCUAAACGGGUUGUCAAUGAUGUGCAACCGUGUGCUUCCCGUGCUAAUGCUGCACCUAAUGAUGCUGUCUCUCCUGUUUAUGCUCCUGGUUCUACUGUAGCAGCUGGUGCAACUGCUAAGAGAUCGGGACCCAGUAGAGCAUCAACUGCCUCAAUCCCCUCUUCUGGCCCUGGUGCUGACUAUGAUUCGGCCUAUGCACCGCUUGUCGAGCUUGCUGUUCAUGCAGCUGCUCAGACCUCAACUGGCCUUCCUACAGGUGGUAGCCCAGCAGAUACUGUUAAGAAGCGAAGGCGCAUGGCCUUACAAAAAAUUGGUUCCUGUGGACCCACUACUUCAGUCGCUGAUAAUGGCAGGAAAAGAAGAUCUAGGAAGAAAAAUAUCUCUGCAGUCAAUGACAACUUGGAGAAGCAUCAAAGAUAUAAUUCUCUGGGGAAUGAUGAUCAUGAAAUCCUAUCUGUUCGUGAUGAUGACUUGCCAGAAAACCUAGUUUUGUCAUGGAAAGAUUAUAUUACGGGGGUGGGCCAGGAGUUCAAAAGUGUGAAAGAGUUCCGGGAGGCACUGCAGAAGUAUGCUAUUGCGCACCGCUUUGUAUAUAAGUUGAAAAAGAAUGAUACUAUUCGUGCUCGUGGCAUAUGCGCUGCAGAAGGAUGUUCUUGGAAGAUUCAUGCAUCUAGGGAUUCUACAUCUCAGUCAUUUCAGAUUAAAAAGUUCAACAAUACACAUACAUGUGGUGGGGAAUCUUGGAAGAAUGAAAACCCAGCAAAGAAGUGGUUGGUUGGUGUUAUAAAGAACAAGUUACGUGAGUCCCCACAUCACAAAACCAAGGAAAUUGCUAACAGCAUCUCGCAGGACUUUGGAAUUCAAUUAACAUAUACACAAGUGCGGCGUCGAAUUAGGGAUGCCAGAGAGCAACUUCAGGGUUCAUAUAAGAAGUCUUACAAUUGGUUGCCUUGGUUCUGCAAGACAGUGGUGGAAACAAAUCCUGGUAGUAUUGUCAAGCUUGUCACUAAUUAUGAGAAAAGACUUCGGUGCCUUUUUGUGUCAUUUUAUUCUUCUAUACAUGGCUUCCACGGUGGUUGCCGUCCCAUUCUUUUUCUUGAAUCUACAUCUCUACGAUCGAAGUACCGAGAAAUUUUGUUGACUGCAACUGCAGUCGAUGCAGACGAUGGUUUCUUCCCGGUUGCAUUUGCUAUAGUUGAUGUUGAAACCAAGGAUAACUGGCUAUUGUUUCUGAAGCAACUAAAAUCUGCAAUGUCAACUUCACAAUCCAUAACAUUUGUCUCAGAUAGAGAGAAGGGGUUAAAGCAGUCUAUUCUUGAGGUAUUCGAGAAUUCUUGCCACGGUUAUUCCAUUUUCCACCUUAUGAAAAGUUUCAAGAGGAACAUGAAAGGGCCAUUCCAUGGGGAUGGAAGAUGUGUCCUACCUGAAAGUUUUCUAGCCGCUGCCCAUGCUGUCCGACUUAAUGAUUUCAAAAUGUUCACAGAGCAAAUUAGACAGAUCUCGUCACAUGUUUAUGAUUGGGUUAUUCAAAUUGAACCCGAGAACUGGACUCGUUUGUCAUUCAAAGGUGAGCAGUAUAAUCAUAUCACACAGAAUGUUGCAGAAUCAUACACUAAGCUGAUGGAGGAAAAACGGGAAUUAACUAUAAUGCAGAAGAUAGAAGCCCUGAGGAGCAUGAUGAAUGAGUUGAUAAAUAAUCGUCAAAUGGAAUCGAGUAAAUGGACGACAAAACUCACUCCCUCGAAAGAGAAAUUGAUGCAAGAAGCUGUUCUUAAAGCAUUUGGACUGAGAGUCUUUGCCUCGUCAGAUACUCUGUUUGAGGUCCAUGAUAAUUCUACUCAUGUUGUGAAUAUUGAAAAGCGGGAAUGUACAUGCCUAGAGUGGAAAGAAAGUGGGCUUCCAUGCUACCAUGCUAUUGCUGCCUUAAACUGUGCAGGGAAGAAUGUUUAUAACUACUGUUCAAGAUAUUUUACCACUGAGACUUACCAAUCAACGUAUUCGAAGUCUAUAAAUCCUAUUCCUGGCAUUGAUAAGCCCAUACGAAAAGAAAAUGGCGAUUCAGAUACCAUGGAAGUGCUUCCUCCUUGUCCCCCUCGUAUGCCAAAUCAACACAAGGAAGAAGAGAGCAAUUCAGAGAAUCCGGAUAAGAAGACUGUCACUUGUACCAGGUGCAAGCAGCUCGGGCAUAACAAAGCUUCAUGCAAAGAAGAUAUAUAGCUUCCAUGUUUGGCCUUCUUUGUGUAUACACCGUAUAUAAGCCUGGUUACUCCUAAGCUAUAAGCGGUUUGGCCGAGUUGGUGCAGUUCUAGUAGGUCAUUGAAGACGCUAGUUUUAAACAGAUACUUGCUUUAGUCUUAUGAUUGAAGCACUUUUAUUUAGUUUGCAGAAUAUAUUAUGUUAAUUGAGUUGUCUUUUUAUUAGUAUGCUCUUGUUUGGUAAAGUUUCUUUUAGAUUUUAAGCAAUCAAAAUAUUUUUUUAACCACAUAUAUUAUAGAUUCACAA